CAUAGGUAUUUAAAAAUGACAGACUUUGAAGUCAGAGUUUAGACCAUAUGGGGUUAAAGUCUUAAAAUUUAAUAUAAAUCUCAUUUCCUCUUUCCCUAGUUUUUUUAUAUAGUCUCCUCCCCUACAAUAUUUUUUCACUUCUUUUAUUGCACAAAAGAAAAGGUUAAAACAAUAAAAAAUGACUUGCCAAAGUUUGUGGCUAUCCAGGACUGGAUUAUGCCACCCACUAAAUGGAAAGUCAC